UACAGAGGUCUCAAGCGUUGUUCGGAUUCACUGGGUUUAAAGGGUGCGUAGGUGGAUUGGUAAGUCAGUGGUGAAAUCUCCGGGCUUAACUCGGAAACUGCCAUUGAUACUAUCAGUCUUGAAUACCGUGGAGGCCAGUAGAAUAUGUCAUGUAGCGGUGAAAUGCUUAGAUAUGACAUAGAAUACCAAUUGCGAAGGCAGCUGGCUACGCGAAUAUUGACACUCAGGCACGAAAGCGUGGGGAUCAAACAGG
rnacentral:rRNA from 1 species